GUGCCCAACAGCUCAUACAGAGCAUGUGGAAUGGUACACAGAAGAUAGCAUGGCCCCUGUACAAUGAUGACAUGAAAAUUCAUAGAGUUCCAUAUUUUU
rnacentral:snRNA from 1 species